rnacentral:ribozyme from 1 species
UUUGUUAUUAUGUUUGAUUGUUUGUGAAUUCUUACAAAAAAAAAAAAAAAAAAAAAAAA